UAUGUAUUAGUUAAGUACUAGGUAGUAAAAGCUUUAAAAUCUUCAGUAAAUACUGAAGAUGUUAAAAUUGUCUGCUAUCUCUCUUGGCUUGUUUUAUGUUAUGAGGAUUUUUAGGAAAUUCUGUCAUCUUUUGAAUGUUGACAGAUUUUUCUGUUAACUUCCCUCACUGUGUGACUCACUGUAGAUUGAUGCACAUUUUUAUCUUCACCAAUACUCACUUGAAACCUCCAGAUAAUCAAUGUACUUGUAGGAAGAUUUCUAUUUUUUUUCCUUCCAUGAUAAAGCACCAUCUCUCAUUUAGUCUUUAUUACCUAGGAAAAUCUCUACCAUGUAUCUCACAUGGUGUUCCUUAAAUCUAUAGAGCACAGGAUAUGCAUGAGCAUCACUCUUUCUUCAGUUUUUGUAAACAUUAGGCACAUGUACUUGUAUAAGCAAAGCUAUUUUUAUGACUAAAAUUUAAUUAAGAUACAUAUCCAGCAGACUUAAAAAAUAACUGGUAUUUACUUAAAGAUUUAAGUAAAUACUGCAUGUUAUGAAUGUGAUUUUCAGUUUUUAUUGGAAAGUAAAAACUG
rnacentral:lncRNA from 1 species